GUUUUAGUUGUACAUUAUGCACAAUAGACAUUCCAUUACAUUCAGAGUGUGUAAAGUUACUCGAGCACCAGGCCGGUGAGGGCGGCCAUGCAAAGCGGUACUCAGAGUCAUAGAUGCACAGGUGUGUGGAUUUGCGACUCUUGUCGUCGUGCACAUGUGAAUCUCUCCACCAGCACAGAACAACAAAAGCCGACUUUGAAGUUUCAUUAAUGAUCCUUCCGCAGGUUCACCUACGGAAA
rnacentral:misc_RNA from 1 species